UUUGUCUUUGAAACACUCUCAUUAAACCUUUAACAUCGUUCUUACUUUCUAGAUAAGUCCAAACCACUUUUAGGUCUUUUUGUAAUCGGUCCCUUGGUGGUUAUUCAAAUUCUGGCAUUCAUCAUUUACAUCAAGAGGUAAGUAAGCAUCCCAUCGUAGCUUGCAUAUUGUCGUUCAUCAUGGAAAUUGUGUUUGUCAGUGGUGUUUUUCAUUCUUUCAGAAAAACAUCAAGAACACCAGAAGCAGAAAAUGGUGGAACUUCAGUCUCACAAAACUCCAAGUUUGAGACUUACGAUAAUACCUAUGAAAAUAUUAACAUUUAUGAAAAUUUUAACUGACAAAAUGAAGAUCUUCAUUCUGACAGUUUGAUUGUGAAGAAUGUGACUAGACACGAAGACGCUGAACCCCAGGAAACAACACAAUGCAAUGAAUGUGGAAAUUUGGAUUUUACAUGAAAGAACCAGAUUUUUGAGUUGAAGAAGAUUAUUUUAAAAUUGGAUAUGUG
rnacentral:lncRNA from 1 species